CUAACAACGAUACCUUCAGAUCCACUCAUUUUACAAAGAAUAUGAAGUAGGAAGUCACUCAUUUAGCACCUUGACGAGAUCAGAAGGAAACGUAGAAAAAAUAAUUCAUUACUGCUUAAUGAAUGAAUGAGAACAAAUAACAUCUGUCCAUGCCUGAAGAGAGUGUUUGCAGGGUUAACUAUGGCUGAUUCAGUAUGUGGCAGUAGCAAUAAAACAUGAAAUAGUGGUUUAAGAAAUAUCCCUGAGAAAAUUAUUCCAUAUCCAGAACUGAUCCCAUGACAUAUGUUUCUGGCACUGUCACAGGACUUACGGAAACUAACUACAGUCAGGGAAGCAAGCCCAGCUGUAAAUGAUUAAAUUGCAUAGUAAGGUCUCCUUGAUUGCAGUACUUGGUACCCUUGUAAUCGGGAUGCUAGACAAUUUAAAACUGGGCAUGGGUCCACAGGUGCAGAGAAGUCUCUGUGAAAAACGUGCCAAUAUUCUAGGCUAUCAUGCACUCGUUGCCAAUGGAUCACAGAAAAUAAGGCUGGAGGAGUUGAGAGAUGCUAUAAGUCAUCCUUUCCAUCCCCAAUGUAGAUCAGCUAAAUCCUGGGCCAUUCCUCAUGGUUGCCUCAACGUUCCUGAAAACAAGACAAUUUCCACUGUGCAUAAAAUAGCCUGAGUCAGGAGCAUCAGAUCAGAGAUCACCUUUUUGCACCCAGCUGCUGAAGCUGUCAUCGUACUCUGGGUACAUUUAUUUAACCAAAGUAACAGGGCAGUGAUCGCUGCAGAGAACUGGAACUUCCUUUCUUCAUUCAAAGAACUAAAGUUGCUAUUGUUGUAAAAAUAUCGAACUAAUUCUUUUCCACCAAAGGAACACUAGGUAAGAUAAAUAAUGUUAUUUCUCCUUUUUCAGAAGGGUCUAAUCCAAAGUAGUUCAAUAAAUUUGUUAAGUGGCUAUGACUUCA
rnacentral:lncRNA from 1 species